CGUGUAGGCGGUCUGAUUAGUCUGAUGUGAAAGCCCUGGGCUCAACCCAGGAAGUGCAUUGGAUACUGUCAGACUUGAAUACGGGAGAGGGUAGUGGAAUUCCUAGUGUAGGAGUGAAAUCCGUAGAUAUUAGGAGGAACACCGGCGGCGAAGGCGGCUACCUGGACCGAUAUUGACGCUGAGACGCGAAAGCGUGGGUAGCAAACAGGAUUAGAUACCCUGGUAGUCCACGCCGUAAACGAUGAGUACUAGGUGUUGCGGGUAUUGACCCCUGCAGUGCCGCAGCUAACGCAUUAAGUACUCCGCCUGGGAAGUACGGUCGCAAGACUAAA
rnacentral:rRNA from 1 species